CAGCAGCCACGGGAAUACGUAGGUGGCAAGCGUUGUCCGGAAUUAUUGGGCGUAAAGGGCUCGCAGGCGGUUUCUUAAGUCUGAUGUGAAAGCCCCCGGCUCAACCAGGGAGGGUCAUUGGAAACUGGGAAACUUGAGUGCAGAAGAGGAGAGUGGUAUUCCACGUGUAGCGGUGAAAUGCGUAGAGAUGUGGAGGAACACCAGUGGCGAAGGCGACUCUCUGGUCUGUAACUGACGCUGAGGAGCGAAAGCGUGGGGAGCGAACAGGAUUAGAUACCCCGGUAGUCCCUGUCUCUUAUAC
rnacentral:rRNA from 1 species